rnacentral:rRNA from 1 species
UACGGAGGGGGCUAGCGUUGUUCGGAAUUACUGGGCGUAAAGCGCACGUAGGCGGCUUUGCAAGUUAGAGGUGAAAGCCCGGGGCUCAACUCCGGAAUUGCCUUUAAAACUGCAUCGCUAGAGUUGUGGAGAGGUAAGUGGAAUUCCGAGUGUAGAGGUGAAAUUCGUAGAUAUUCGGAAGAACACCAGUGGCGAAGGCGGGUAGCUGGGCCGACACUGACGCUGAGGCGCGAAAGCCAGGGGAGCGAACGGG